UACGUAGGGUGCGAGCGUUGUCCGGAUUUAUUGGGCGUAAAGAGCUCGUAGGCGGUUUGUCGCGUCGGCCGUGAAAUCUCCACGCUUAACGUGGAGCGUGCGGUCGAUACGGGCAGACUUGAGUUCGGUAGGGGAGACUGGAAUUCCUGGUGUAGCGGUGAAAUGCGCAGAUAUCAGGAGGAACACCGGUGGCGAAGGCGGUGAUCUGGGCCGACACUGACGCUGGUAGAGCGAAAGCGUGGGGAGCGAACAGG
rnacentral:rRNA from 1 species